rnacentral:lncRNA from 1 species
AUUCUUGCCCUCUCUCCUUUGGAUUGGAUGCCAUGUAUAUUCAUUUCUCUGCCAGGCAGAAUGCUGCAGUCUGCUGUCUUCAAGACCACUCACCAAUUAGCUCUGUUUCCCUGCUCUUUUUAAACCUGCUUGCCACCGUUAAUGUUCCUGCGGUGACAUGAAGAGAGCCCCAUUCAUUUCAAAUAUCUACGGACUCGAUGACCUCUCUAAGUUAGAACAUCCUAAGAGAAAUCCAAGGACAACCUAUUUCCUGGAAGCCACCAAUCUAAGUGAAUAGUCUAACCCUGGGGAUAGCUUUUCUUCAUUACAUGAAACCCCAGUUACUGAGACAACUGGGGUCCUGAGGGAAUUUUCCUUCGAUGUCUGUGGUUCUCAAUCUUUUUGUGGAUCGAGGACCCUUUUGAGACUAUAACAAAAACUAUGAUCCCUCUCUUGAGAAAAAUAUUGAUACACAGAAAAUUUUGCAUGUUUGAGGGAUUCAUAGCAUUCCUCAGAUUGCCAUAAGUUAAGAACUGCUAUUCUAAAUAGGGUUAAAAAAAAAAAAAGAUGAGCAUUGAUGGAAUUGCCCUUCCUUCCUUCUUCAAUUCAAGAAAGAAAAAAUAACGAAGCUUAGAGAUGAGCCAGCCAUUGUGACCCCCGAACUCCAAAUAAUACUGUCCUUAAUAAUAAUAUCCAAGGGUCAUGCUAGUGGUCUCUAUGGACAUCUCUAGUCGUCAUAAUAAUUUUUAUUUUUAUUUAAUGUUUGGAGACGUUGUAAAAAGUGACUACUGUUUCAAAAUGUGACCUCUGUGAGGUUUAAAACCUACUGAAUCAGAUGAGAUAUGAAAGCGUUCAAUAUAAUGUAUGACUUAAAGCUAUAUUUUUUAAACUUUAAUAAGAAAUGUCUGACUCUUAGAUCACUGUUUCUAAAGCCUGGCAGACAGAAACAUGUCUUUUAAAAAGGUCUAAUUUAUAUACCAAAUAGAGAUCCAGCAGGUAGAAAUGAUGCCUUUCCUUUUUACCUCAUGCCAACCAGAAUCUUUCAUCAGCUUUGAAUACACCUCAGCUCCAGCAAUAUUUAACAAUGCUAACUCAUCUCAUUUAUUUUCAAAGAUUUUUCAAGUACUCUGCUAGACAGUUGGAUACUAAGAUAAGCAAAUCACGGUCUUUGUCCUUGGGACGGUUAUAGUAUUGUGGGAGGACAGGUGUGUGUGAACACUCAUGCAGCUACUGUGGUGGCUUAGACAGCAUCCAUUCCCUUCUUCCUCCCUCCUGGCAGAAUUUUUUUUUUUUUUUUUUGAGGCAGGGUCUCACUGUGUCACCCAGGCUGGAGUGCAGUGGCAUAAUCUCGGCUCACUGUAACCUCCACCUCUCAGCCUCCCAAGUAGCUGGUAUUACAGGUGUGCACCACUGCACCUGGCUAAUUUUUGUAUUUUUUGUUGUUGUUGUAGAAAUGAGUUUCACCAUCUUGCCCAGGCUGGUCUUGAACUCCUGGUUUCAAGCAAUCCACUUAUCUUAGCCUACCGAAGUGCUGAAAUUACAGGUGUGAGCCACUGUACCCAACCCGGAACUCCGUUUUUAUUUGGGUACCCACCUCUCCUGUACAUAAGCUAUGUGAUCUCUGGAAAGCUGACCCACACCAGGCUAUACCAAUCAUGAUAAUCCUACACACACCCUUGCCUGUGAUUGGCUCAGGCAUCAUGGCUUCAGCCUAUUGCUUAAUUGGUGACGGUAAUUGGUCCAGGGAUGAACAUGUGACCUAAAGCCCUCCUCACACCAAAGGGAAGGACAACUGCGGGGAAGGUUCUCUCUCUUCCCCUCUAUGCAUGUUGCCCCAAUUGCUUUUAGCAACUGUCUUGCUACCACUGGGGAGAUUGGCCUGAGGACAAAACAAAUAUAUCUGGGAUGACAGAUCUGAGAAAAUUACAGAAACCCUAAGCAGAAACCCUGAUCGUAUCACAUCUGGAGCCCAGUCUACAUCCAAAUGGCCUUUAUAUGAGAUCAAUCUACUAUUUUCUUUUUGUUUAGUCUUCUUUGGGUGGACUUUCUGUCCUAUGCAGACCAAAAACUUCCUGACUGUCAUCCCUACUAUUAGAGAGUGAGAGUACCCCUGGUAUGCUACAAAAAUCUUCAAAAAAAAAGCACAGAGGAUGGACACAGUCACUCUGGUGGGAACUUUCUGGAGAAGGGGAUACUUGAACUGAGUUUUGAAGGUUGAAUAGGAGUUAGCUGAGCAGAUAUAAAAGGGAAAGGGGUUCUAAAGAGAAGAACAAGUGAACAGAGGUGUGCUGGUGCCUUCAAGGUUGUUGGGAGAGUUGUAUGGCUAGAGUGAAAUGAGCACUCAGGGGAUGUUUUGGAAGAUGAGACAGAAGAGGUAGCAAGGGCUGGAUCAUGAGGGGUCUCACAUUCCGUGUGAAUGUGGAUUUUCUAUUAAAGGUAAUUGGGAGCCAUUGAAAGAUGUUAAGCUAAGUGUCAUGGUUGGUUUAGCGUUUUAAACAAUUGCUGGUGGCCAGUGUGGAAGGUGAGUUGGAGACUUGGAGGUGAGUUGGACAGUUCUGGAGACAGGGGGAUCAGUUCAAGAGUCUCCAUUUUGCUGGAAUUCUCAGUCAUCCUCUCCCAACAAGGGGCAGAAAACAUGGGCUCUUUCUGGACAGUUCAGAGAUGGGAGCUGUGAAGACUGGUACAGAUCCAAGUUGGUGCUCAAGAUAUAGAACAGUGCACAGGGUCAUGGAAUGAGCCCCUUACUUGCUGUGUGGCCUUAAGCUAGCUGCUUAACUUCUCUGCGAUUCCAUUUCCUUGUCAAUAAAAUGAGGAUCCUAAUGCCUACCUUGCAGUGUUUUGGUGAGUAAAAUAACAUUUAUAAACAGAUAAGGCUACUAGAGAAUAGAAACUAGAUUAAUGACUCACUGGAUGAUUGAGUGACGGGAUGACGUGAGUGGUUUUCCCUACUUAGAUUAAAUAUGUGGUUAUAGACUUCAAAAUGGCAGGCCCAGUACUUGGGGAGAUGUUACUACCAGAUGAACAAGUUAUCCCCACUACUUUCUGAGAUAAGUUUAAUUCUCAUAGAAUUUUUUUUAAUGAGGGCACAUCUGCCCACAAGGAUUAGAGAAGCUUCUGCUCAGCCAUUAAUUAAAACAACAUGCUUUGAAGCCCUGUGGAUUUGCAGCUCUCCAUUCUUGGGGCUCAAGAGGAAGCAUUAUUAUAAAUUGCUUUGGAAGGAAUUGAUUAGGGGUUUUCCAUAUGAUACCCUCAAAGGGCUUGAGAGAUUAGGUUUUGGCCCGAGCUCAAGGGCUGCUGCCCAGUUGGUUUGGAUAGCCUGCAGGGACAGGAACUGAGAAAGGUGCCUGUCUGUGCUCCUUUCCAUAAGCCAGAUCCUUUGGUCUCCCAAGUUGACUGUGCCCAUUCAGUGGUGGUCAGAAGAAAGGGCUAGGGUGGGACAGUGCGGAGCUGGUGCCCACCUGCAGAUGCUUGGAGGUAUAACGUGCAGUGAUUGAGAGAUUUACCAUCAGAGGCAUCCAGGUUUUUGAGUUCCAGCUCACUCACUUACUAGCUGUGUGACCUUGAGCAAGUGACAUAACUUCUCUGAGCUGUGACUUUUUUCAUUUGGAAAAAUGGGUUUUAUUUAUUCCAAUUCUACAAAGUGGGAGUAGAUCUACUCCUAAGGUUAUUAUGUAGAUUAAAUAAAACAUUUAUAUGAAGUAUGUAUGCACCAUAGUUUAUAACAGAUGGCUAAUAAACAUAGGUUGUUAUUAUUAUUUAUAAUGAACAUUUGUAAUGUGGGGUCUGUCCAUCAAGUAGCUGCUCCCUGAUUUCCUUCUGGGGAAUUACCUUUCCUGAUUUGGUGUAGUCUUGGUGCCCUCUAGUGUGCUGACUGUCCACCUUAGAAGUUGAAAGGUGGAGGCUCUGCCCACCAGACAUUCUUUUCACCACCUAGUACAGCCAAGAUGUGAGCAUUUCACCUGAGUUCAGGCAAUCAGAGUUUCUGUCUCCUGAGACCUUGAAUCAAAGCAAAGGUAGCAAACACAGUGGGAUAGUGCCUGAGGAAGACGGUCUUCCCUUCCCUCCUGUUGGUGCCCCAAAUAGUUCCUACAAAGUCUCCAUUCUCUCAAAGGGCCAAAAUCCAUUUCUGUUGCUUGUGACCAAAGAAAUGAGAUACUGUUGCUUUCUGCUUCUAGGAAAUGAGUGUUUCCCUUCACAACCUGCUUCACUUCUUGUCUUGUCUUUACUCCAAUACACAGGGCACUGCCACAACGGCCCUACCUAGAAUGUUCCCCAAACACAGCGUAAAUUUUUGUAACUUCCUGCACGUUUUCAAGACGUCCUUUCUGUUUGGAUGUCCAUAUCCAGCCCUCAUCCUCCAACAGGCAAAUUCUACCUCAUUCUUUAAGCCCUGGCUCAAAUGUUGCUUGCUAGGGAAGGCUUCAGUGACUGCCCCUGACCCAGCAGUACAAAAACAUUUCAUUUCCUCCACGUUUUUCAUACUUUCACUGAAGCAUUUACUACACUUGCCGUGUUGUAUUACAGUUAGGUUAUUUGCUGCCAUCUACAUUGUGUGCUCUUUGGGGAUGGUCUUGUUCAGUUUUGUUUCUCUAGUACCUGAUUCAGAGCAAGAGCACGAAGCAUUUUUAUUGAAUAAAUGGUGAAGAAAUGACAUUUCUUACAAACAUAUGACUUGUACAAUUGUAUAUGCAAACAUAUGCAGGGCAUGUCUAAAUAAUUUCAGAACAGUAGGCCAAUUCAAUAGACCACCUGGUUUUCCCAGCAGUGGUAAGAAACCUGUCCUUGUCUCAGUUAGCCAAAUUGACUAUCUGGAUUCACCCAAAAGUUAAGAUCAUUGUCUCAACUCUCUUCUUUGAGAGUUACAUCCCAACAUAAUUACAUAACACUAGUAACUAAGUCUUCUAUGGCCCUGACCACAUCCCAAGCACCAAAUCAAUAUUAACUCACGUAAUCCUCAUAAUAAUCCUAUGAAGUAGAUUCUGCUAUUUUUCUCAUUUCAGAGAUGAAAAAACUGAGGCAUAGUGAGGUCGAGUCACCUGCUCACGGUUACAUGGCUGACCAGUGAAAGAGCUGUUUCUUGCCUCAGCUGUGCUCUUCCAUACGAUGCUGCCUCCUCUGAAUUCCAGAGGAAUGAGCAGAUUCAGCACUUAGCCCAGUUUCACAGCUUGGGGGUUGGACACCGGAUAGGGGUGGCUGCAUAUGGAGAUCUGCCCACCUUGUAAGAAGUAUUGACGAGUGCAGGUUUUGCUAAGCUAUAGCAGGGUAGUGAUGAAGACAAAGCAGUUUCCUCCCAUGAUAUUUGAUCAUUCUGAGCCCCAGAAAUAACCCUCGUGCAAGUAGGGGUCACAUUAUUUGCCUUGGCUAAACUCACCAAGCUGGAUUUGGUAGGCAGUAGAGGGUAGUUCCAUGGUUAAGCUUUUAAGUCAAAGAGUACUGAAUGUAAGGCCUGGCUCAGCUGUCUGCUGCUGUGUGUGAUCUUGGGCUAAUUAUUUAACUGCUGGGUGACUCAGUUUCCUCACCUGUGAAAUAGGGCAUAAUAAAAGUCUCCAUGUCAUAGAAUAGUUAUGAAAAUUAAAUGAGAUAAUUACACGGAAAUUACUUGGUAUGUCUGGCACCUAUUAAGUGGUAGUAUUAUACAAAUGUUAGUACAAACAUUUGUGCUAAUUAUGGGAUAUUUAAUGACCAAUAGCAUGUUGGGUCUUUCAAGGAGCAAUGAGAAGCAAAAGAGUAGGGUUGAGAAGUGAAUGUCCAUCUACUUUACCAAGCAAAGUGCAGUCCUUAAGAAUUUACUCCACUGCCUGAAGCUCCAUGUCUGGCCACCUAGUUCUCCCAAGGAUUCCACUAGGUAUGAGCACAAGAUAGGGUUUGUAGUUUUCACACCCAGUAAUCAGGGCUGAUGGCUCAAUAGGAUUAUUUUGUAUAGCAAACCCAAUAUCCUCUUUACUAUUCUUUUCCCCUUUCUGAUUUCCAGUUGAAAAAAAAAACCCUCCAAUGAUAAAUUUGGUCAAAAGGCUUAUUUUAUUACUAGUGCCUGUUGCCAAAGAGCUGAUAUUUCUCACAAAUCCUGAGCUGUGAGUUGUGACAGCCAGUGCUUGGGUGAAGUUAGCACCUGCCUCAUCCCCAAGGAGAAGAAGUGAGGAUGUGAUUUUCCUGACCGAGUCCAUUACAACACAUGUGCCCUGACCCCUGGGAUUUGGGGAGGAGGAUUCCCAAUCUGCCAGUUCAUUUAAGCUUCCAACUUUGCAGAUUCCAGAUUCAGAUACAGAGAGCCUUCAAAUGUGUUCUAUAGAAACCAGACUUCAUUGUAAAGUUCUCUAUUAGCUGCAAAACAAACAAAGAUGUACAAAUAAAGUACAUUUUAAAGUAAGAAAUAUAUUCUGUUAAUGCACCUAUCUGUCUCAGCUUUUAAUAAACCCAGUUUACGUGGUUUACAAAUGAGACCCAUUUCCUGAGAGAUCUUGGAGUUGAAAAUUGGAGUAGAAGUGAUUAUAAGCAUAGGAAGGUAUUACUGUACUCUGGGAGCCUCCAACACACUUAAAACACAUUAAUAAGCCCUCUCCAUGGAGGAUUCAAUAGGAUGAAACUAAUCCUCGUGUCGUCCUCUCUCUAUUUGUCCUUCAUGACUGGGACAUGAGAAUUAUGCACUAAAUAACAAUCUCAAAAGGCAAAUCCCACAGAAUGUGGGAACCUCUUGGGACUGUGUGUAGGUGUUGUCACUCCAUAGCUGGCAUCAGAGUGAACUCCCACCACUGGGAUAUGGAACAAUUUGUAAUGUAGCAAUUAAUGGAAAUAUGGCGAAGUAUUCGCUUAGCAGGAAACUGGUAACUGCAGGGAUCACCAAACAGAACAGUACCAUGGCAUGUCCAAUAUCCCAAGGGAUUCUGAAGACAUUCAGAUGACAACCAAGUGCUAGGCAUCUUGAGAAGCCCCUCUGUGCCCCAUUGUUACUUGAGGUUGAAGUUAAAAAUGAUACCUUCUCUUCCACCCAGCUUUUGAGCUACACAGAAGGGAGGAGCCGUUUUAUAAAAAUGCAGCCUCGGAAAUGUAAGGACGCACCAUGCUUGCUCGCUUCACCCUGGGUGAACAGCCUUCGGCAGAUUCUCAUUAGGAAAAUGUUCCACUGGGCUUUCUCCUCAGGGUGCAAGGGAGACCUGGGCCGUUGCAGAGCUGCAUUUUGCAUCGCCUGGAUGAUUGUAAAACUCCCUACUCACCACCCCCAACCAACCAAGAAAACCCAUCAGCUUAAGUACCAACCCCCCACCUCAGUUCUCAUAUACUUUCAUCUUGUUCCCAGGAUCCACUAAAGUAAAUAAGAUGUCCACCCAGAUAAUGGAAACCCCUCCAGCUCUCAGUUAGUGCCUUUUCAUGCCAAUUAAACACAUUUUAUACAGUCAUCGUAGAUGCAUCAAUGACUGCAUUCCGAGACGCCAAUAGGGCCGCGGCAGACAUCAGCCUAGCAAACGAAAUGUAUUUCAUGCGUGUUUUCUCUCUGUCUUAUUCUAACCACUUGGCAACGGUCUCAAUUGAAAACAUUGAUUCUGAAAGAUAUAUAUGGGUAUAUAAACUGAUUAAGCAGCUUAUUUGCUGCUGAUUACUUUACUAAUAAAGAUCUCAGCGUGCUUAAUUUAAAUUAAUACUUCUUUAAUGAAAAUCCAGCUUAGAGCAUUAAAAACAAUCUUGACAGAUGCGUUUAUUGCACAAACAUACAUUUAUCUACGCCAAGCCAAUUGAACAUACAAUCAUAUUUGGUUGGAGUUAUAAUUGAUAAUGAUUCUACAAUUAUGACUUCAGUUAGGUGUGUGUCGUUCACCAGAGUUACUCUGAUACUCUCAAAAGGUUUUCUCAUUUUGGAGGCUGUGAGGACCCAGUGGGAAGUACAUGGAAGUUUGCGAAGCAACUGCAGAACAUUUGGUUACUUUUGAGAUGAGGAGUAAGAUAUCCUUGCUUCCCCUCCCCCUCACUCCAUCCUCCUCUGCCUUAAAAAGCCAAAAGGAGGGUGGCUGACUUUCCAGUGUAGUAAAAAUUGGAAAGGGGACAAAAGGUGUCAAAUGUUAAGACCUAGGGAUUAAACAAAAUUGGGUUAUUGAUUAACCAGUGUGUUGGUAACCUGAUGUUUGUGGCAGCCAAAUACCAGAGUCUCUCGCCUCUUGGAGUUUAUGGGCCAAUUUCUCCCAAGAUGUGUGAGCUUGUUGUGCCGCCGCCAGUGGACUCGCCAGCGGCUGAGCAGCUCAGAGUGACAGCGACUCAGCGUCUGGAAGCCCCACUGGGUUGUGAAAUGAAGAAGGCCUUCUUUGCCCCUGAUGCAGCCUGGGCGAGCCCCGAGGCUCCAGAAGCGAGCAUCUCCCAGCUCCUAAAGAGCAGACAUAUAUCCUGCCUUUAAGACAAGACUACAAUUGCAAAUCUGAGAAUAUAAAUUACACUUUCAUCUUUCUUUGGUUUUCUUUCUUUUGCUUCAGUUUUCAUUCCAGGAUAAACUUUCCUGUCAAAGGGACAUUUCUGAUGUGUCAAAUUCACCACUAUAAUGAACAGGUUGACAAAUGUGGAAGGUGAGCAGACAUUUGGAUCUGCCGCAGCUGCCUGCAGCCAGAGGAAACCAUGACUUUCACAAGGAUAACGAGGCUUUGAAAGAUGGCGAAAAUGUCGCCAUCAACCUGCCCUUCUGCUACUUAGUAAUUAGAUAAUUAGUCAGGCCCUAAUUAUGGGAUCAGGGUGCAGGAAAACAAUUAGCUGAAAGAAUUACUAUAUAAAACUGAAACGGAGAUUCCUGAAAACAAUAUUUAAUUUUAUGAUAUUAAUAUCUGCAGCAAUAAUGGGAGUCCUUGGCUGAUGCCACCCGUGUGCCUAGGCAUCCGGAAGGCAAGCUGGGUAUUCUCCUUCUGAGAGCUGGAUGUCAACACGAAAAUGAAUCCUGUGACACUGUCUUUUCAGGACCCCAUGUGUGCCCAGGCAGGAAGUUUGUGGCUGUUGCGUGUCAGCCAAGUGUGUACAUACCUGUGCCACACACACUUGCCUACAAACUCCCAAUUCCUUCCCCAGGCCCCAAGAAGCUACCAAAUAUGUCUCCGGCUGCAAAGAAAAAUGGGGCCGGCUCAUAAAUUCUUCUUGCAUAUGGUAUGAGAGAGUAAACAGGUAAACAAGUUUUCAAAUGCCUUCCUCCAACCUGGAAUUAUUAACACAUUGUCUUGUUAUCAUGAUUAAAAUUAAAUGAUGUUCCAGGCUCUUUGACAAAUGAAUUUGGAAUGGUUACAGUAAUGGCAUUACUUUAAAUUAUGAAACCAGGGAGAAAAAAAAGAGAGACAAAGAGAGAAAAUUGAGCCUAACAGCCUGAUCCUUAACUAUUAUUUACCUAUUAUCUGAGAGAAUUGAAUCUCGCUGUGCUGCGGCAGAGAAUAAUAAAAGAUUUGUAGGCUUUACAAGGCCCUGUCCUCCCAUCCAGCAAGCACCAAUUCCCAGGGGCUCCAUUGCGAGCCCUGGCUCAGCUUGUCUGAUCAUUUAUCCAUAAUUAGAAAAUUAAUAUUUUAGAUGGCGCUAUGAUGAACCCAUUAUGGUGAUGGGCCCCGAUAUCAAUUAUAACUUCAAUUUCAAUUUCACUUACAGCCGAGUAAUGGGUCCUGGUGGCGGUGUAGAGAUGGGCUGGAGCUUCAGAGCAUGACGAAUACAGAUCACUGCACAUUAGGAUGAGCAAUUAUUUGAACAUGUAUAAAAACUAUUUACAAGCAAUGUAAUUGACCGGGGUCAGGGGGAGAUGCUGAAAAAUGGACAGGUUGACAAAUUCUUGUUCCAUACCAACAGAAAGGAUUUAUUAAUUUCUUUGGCUGUAAUUGAAUUUUUGAAAGGUUCUUGUUAAGCUUGCCCUGCUUUGCUCAUCUCCUGUGCUGACCUUCCAUAGAUCUGAUGCUAUAGCUCCUGCUUGCUUCCGUAGCCCUUGGCAGGGAGAUUGCUGAUGGAAUUUAUAAAAAAACAAGCAGCCACUUUCAAAAUAGAUUCAGCAGAGAAUAACAGAACCACCACUCUACUAUUGUGUAACUUUCUCUUUGGAAAAAAAAAGGCUCAUAAUCUUGUGGAUAUUCCAGCUAAACACUGAGGGUUUCAAUUCUACAUUUUACCAAUUUUAAGGCUGACGUGAGCAGUGAUUUAAAGGUGAAGUAACCUUUCAGUGAUAUAACAAAGUUCAAUUUUAAUAAAAUGGAUAAAAGCAGUUUUUACCAUUUGCAGCUGAGUAGACAUCAAAGCCAUGUGUCUCUUCUAUUUCUCUUUAACCAUUUGUGUUUCCUAAGAUAAUGUUACCAAUUAUUUAAAAUUCCCUUUGGGAGGAAGGAGGGAGAAUAAGAAAUAAUUAUUUGCGGGGGGUUGGGGGUAUUAUUUUCACUGUGAUCUGUGCCCAGACCUCUCUACCUGAGAAGCUCUUCUCCCUUCCCCUUCCAUUCUUCCCGAGCUGGCUCUGCUAGAUCCAUGAACGCCCAGUUUUAACAAUUCCUUUUCAAGAACACACAAACAGACGGAUGGCAAAUAUGCAAAGCGGGAGGAAUGGCUUCCCAGACUCAGGCAACACACACCUUCUUCCAAAACGCGUAAACUCUGAGCAGGCUUGGGGCUGAGGCAGGCAGCAAGGCAGCCCAGCGAAAUCACACCAAAUCAGAGCGAAAGAUAAAUUAUGAAAAUAUCUCAGUGUCUUUAUUUGUUAAUUUUCCAUGGCCUUGGGAUGCUGCUGCUGGUUUUGUCCUGGCAUUGCCUCAUGCAUUUGCUCUUGUUUUUUUGAUGUCAGUUUAAUUGUUCACUGUCAGGGGCAGAGCAGCAGAUAACAAGCUUAGCAAAUGAUGUCUGCUGUUG